UACGUAGGGUCCAAGCGUUAUCCGGAAUCACUGGGCGUAAAGCGUGCGUAGGUGGCGCGUUAAGUGAGAUGUUAAAUCGUGUGGCUCAGCCAUAUCGAUGCAUCUCAUACUGGCGUGCUAGAGGACAGCAGAGGCAAGUGGAAUUUGUAGUGUAGCAGUGAAAUGCGUAGAUAUUACAAGGAACACCAAUGGCGAAGGCAGCUUGCUGGGCUACUCCUGACACUGAGGUACGAAAGCGUGGGGAGCGAACAGG
rnacentral:rRNA from 1 species